GUUGAAACAUUGGUUCUUGUGCGAUCACCAAAGUUAAGCAACGUUGAUCCUGGUCAGUACCUAGAUGGGUGACCGCUUGGGAAUACCAGGUGUUGUAAG